AUGUUUAUUCAUCAUCAAGAACAUCCCGUUUCGAUUUACAAACAAGAUAACAUCAAUUAUAUCUUAAAAAACAAAUAGAAAAAAAGGUAAAAACUAGAUCUGAAAGCAAUGAGAUUGAAACCAGCUGAAAAAGUUGUUGAAGAAGAACAUCUUGAAACUUUUAAUGAGAAGAAAUUGAAUCGGAUGAUGAAAUUUCUCAAAAAACAACUCAAGAUCCAAAAGAAUUAGCAAAAAAAAAGAGUUAUGCAGUAUGAGUUGACAAAGUAAAUGGAUUUUGGACGACGUUCUCCCAAUGUCAUUGCACUAGUUUAGGACUAAUAAUAAAGAGACAUGGGACUCCAAGGAUAUCUACGAAGUCUUUGAAACAUCACAAGCAGUGAAACAUGGUAACUCAACAAGUCCCAAGGAAACAACAACAAAUGUAAGCGAGGCUAAAAUGGAAUAUAGAAGGCAGAAGUUCGUGGAUGCCAAGCGUCUCUAUAUUGAUGAUGUAUUGAACUAGAAUCAAGCAGUUGCUAAGGUCGAAGCUCCACUAUAGAAAUUCGCCAUCCCAACAAGAUUGUGUGAUAAGCUACUUUAUUGAUCUUCUUUUUCAUCACAGUCCUCUGUUUCCUAGAUCGAGCGUGUUAAUAUCUUCUACACAAUUUGAAUUUCUGCAUAUUUUCUAAGCUGGAGAAAUUCUUCAUCGGUAGUUCUAUGACAACAAGAAUCCGUAGUUUGAGUUGUUAAUGUUUGAUAUAUGUGCAUAUUUUUAUGG